rnacentral:misc_RNA from 1 species
UUUCUGUAUGUAGGACAUCCAAAUAAAUUAUAUGGGAAUGCCUAUUGAAGACUAUGGAAAGUUAGAUACAAGACAUUUUAUUUCCUGAGUGGUUUUAGUAGUUAUAGACAUUUGAUCCAUUUACUUUCCCUUUAUAUUUGAAUUAAUACACAUGGUUGAGGGGGGGAAAGAAGCAACUCAGAGUCUGUCUUUGUUUUUCACCUUUGAUCUAUUUCCUCCAAUUUUAUUGCAUUAUCUUUUGGAUGAGAAUGGGCAUAAGUUUGUGAAACUUGGCAAGCGACUAGUUUUGGAGAUGGCGAGAAGAAGUUUAGUCAGCUGUUGCACAUUUAAUUUACUUCAUGGUGGCAUUGGAUUAGGAUAUACGAGCCCUAAGCUUCAACUCAUCCAUGGUUAGGAAGGUUGCUUCCUUAACAUUGCUGAACUAGCAGUUAAGAAGUGAAUGUUAGAUAGUUCUUCAUCCUUUUUAAAAUAAAUUGCAAAUCUCUAUCUGAAGCCAUCACUGGCAAGGGAAGUUCAUGUUGCUAGUUGCUGAUGCGGACAUGUGCUUAUUUCAUGGGUGCCAUGUUUAUUGCUGCUAUUAUAUCUGUUAGAAUUAUGACUCAAAAUUCUAAUGGGAUUUGGAGAGAGAUUUUUUCCUAAUUUGAGUGGGAGAAA